AGAGUUUGAUCCUGGCUCAGAUUGAACGCUGGCGGCAUGCUUUACACAUGCAAGUCGAACGGCAGCACAGGGAGCUUGCUCCCGGGUGGCGAGUGGCGCACGGGUGAGUAAUACAUCGGAACGUGUCCUGUUGUGGGGGAUAACUGCUCGAAAGGGUGGCUAAUACCGCAUGAGACCUGAGGGUGAAAGCGGGGGAUCGCAAGACCUCGCGCAAUUGGAGCGGCCGAUGCCCGAUUAGCUAGUUGGUGAGGUAAAGGCUCACCAAGGCGACGAUCGGUAGCUGGUCUGAGAGGACGACCAGCCACACUGGGACUGAGACACGGCCCAGACUCCUACGGGAGGCAGCAGUGGGGAAUUUUGGACAAUGGGGGCAACCCUGAUCCAGCCAUGCCGCGUGCAGGAUGAAGGCCUUCGGGUUGUAAACUGCUUUUGUCAGGGACGAAAAGGACCGUGUUAAUACCAUGGUCUGCUGACGGUACCUGAAGAAUAAGCACCGGCUAACUACGUGCCAGCAGCCGCGGUAAUACGUAGGGUGCAAGCGUUAUCCGGAAUUAUUGGGCGUAAAGGGCUCGUAGGCGGUUCGUCGCGUCCGGUGUGAAAGUCCAUCGCUUAACGGUGGAUCCGCGCCGGGUACGGGCGGGCUUGAGUGCGGUAGGGGAGACUGGAAUUCCCGGUGUAACGGUGGAAUGUGUAGAUAUCGGGAAGAACACCAAUGGCGAAGGCAGGUCUCUGGGCCGUCACUGACGCUGAGGAGCGAAAGCGUGGGGAGCGAACAGGAUUAGAUACCCUGGUAGUCCACGCCGUAAACGGUGGAUGCUGGAUGUGGGGACCAUUCCACGGUCUCCGUGUCGGAGCCAACGCGUUAAGCAUCCCGCCUGGGGAGUACGGCCGCAAGGCUAAAACUCAAAGAAAUUGACGGGGGCCCGCACAAGCGGCGGAGCAUGCGGAUUAAUUCGAUGCAACGCGAAGAACCUUACCUGGGCUUGACAUGUUCCCGACAGCCGUAGAGAUACGGUCUCCCUUCGGGGCGGGUUCACAGGUGGUGCAUGGUCGUCGUCAGCUCGUGUCGUGAGAUGUUGGGUUAAGUCCCGCAACGAGCGCAACCCUCGCCCUGUGUUGCCAGCACAUUAUGGUGGGAACUCACGGGGGACCGCCGGGGUCAACUCGGAGGAAGGUGGGGAUGACGUCAGAUCAUCAUGCCCCUUACGUCCAGGGCUUCACGCAUGCUACAAUGGCCGGUACAACGGGAUGCGACACCGCGAGGUGGAGCGGAUCCCUUAAAACCGGUCUCAGUUCGGAUUGGAGUCUGCAACCCGACUCCAUGAAGGCGGAGUCGCUAGUAAUCGCGGAUCAGCAACGCCGCGGUGAAUGCGUUCCCGGGCCUUGUACACACCGCCCGUCAAGUCAUGAAAGUGGGUAGCACCCGAAGCCGGUGGCCCAACCUUUUGGGGGGAGCCGUCUAAGGUGAGACUCGUGAUUGGGACUAAGUCGUAACAAGGUAGCCGUACCGGAAGGUGCGGCUG
rnacentral:rRNA from 1 species